rnacentral:sRNA from 1 species
AUUGUUAGAAGAUACAAUGACAAAGACUCAUAUGGACUUCGGCUACACCAUCAAAGCUUUGAGAAGCAAGAAGCAGCUUGGUUAGUAGUUCGGAGUCGAAUAUGACUUGAUGUCAUGUGUAUGAGUGAGUAUAAAAACUAGAACCGCAACGGAUCUUAAAAGCCUAAAUAUUGUAUCCUUGUUAGAAGAUACAUAGACAAAGACUCAUACGGAAUUCUGCUAAACCAUCAAAGCUUUUAGAAGCAAGAAGAAGCUUGGUUAGUGUUUUAGAGUGAGAUAUGACUAGAUGUCAUGUGUAUGGGUGAGUAUACCAUCUAGAACCGCAAUUGGAAUUUUAAAAGCCUAAGUAUUGUAUCCUUGUUAGAAGAUACAAAGACAAACACUCAUACGGACUUUGGCUACACCAUCAAAGCUUUGAGAAGCAAGAAGAAGCUUGGUUAGUGUUUUCGAGUCGAAUAUGACUAGAUGUGAUGUGUAUGAUUGAGUAUAAGAAAUUAAACCGCAACCGGAUCUUAAAAGCCUAAGUAGUGUUUCCUUGUUAGAAGAUACAAAGGCAAAGCCUCAUACAGACUUUAGCUAUACCAUCAAAGCCUUGAGAAGCAAGAAGAAGCUUGGUUAGUGUUUUGGAGUCAAAUAUUACUAGAUGUCAUGUGUAUGAGUGAGUAUGACAACUAGAACCAUAACCGGAUCUUAAAAACCUAAGUACUGAAUCUUUAUUAGAAGAUAUAAAGACAAAGACUCAUAUGGACUUCGACUACACUAACAAAGCUUUGAGAAGCAAGAAGAAGCUUGGUUAGUGUUUUGGAUUCUAAUAUGACUUGAUGUCAUGUGUAUGACUCAGUAUAAAAACUAGAACCACAACAGAUCUUAAAAGCAUAAGUAUUGUAUCAUUGUUAGAAGAUACAAUGACGAAGACUCAUAUGGACUUCGGCUACACCAUCAAAGCUUUGAGAAGCAAGAAGCAGCUUGGUUAGUGGUUCGGAGUCGAAUAUGACUUGAUGUCAUGUGUAUGAGUGAGUAUAAAAACUAGAACCGCAACGGAUCUUUUAAGCCUAAAUAUUGUAUCCUUGUUAGAAGAUACAUAGACAAAGACUCAUACGGAAUUCGGCUAAACCAUCAAAGCUUUAAGAAGCAAGAAGAAGCUUGGUUAGUCUUUUGGAGAGAAAUAUGACUAGAUGUCAUGUGUAUGAGUGAGUAUACCAACUAGAACCGCAAUUGGAAUUUUAAAAGCCUAAGUACAGUAUCCUUGUAAGAAGAUACAAAGACAAACACUCAUACGGACUUUGGCUACACCAUCAAAGCUUUGAGAAGCAAGAAGAAGCUUGGUUAGUGUUUUCGAGUGGAAUAUGACUUGAUGUGAUGUGUAUGAUUGAGUAUAAGAAAUUAAACUGCAACCGGAUCUUAAAAGCCUAAGUAGUGUUUCCUUGUUAGAAGAUACAAAGGCAAAGCCUCAUACAGACUUUAGCUAUACCAUCAAAGCCUUGAGAAGAAAGAAGAAA